AAAGGAAUAGACGGGGACCCGCACAAGCAGCGGAGCGUGUGGUUUAAUUCGAUGCAACACGAAGAACCUCACCUGGGUUUGACAUAUACGUAGUAGGGAACCGAAAGGGGACCGACGCUUCGGCGAGCGUAUACAGGUGCUGCAUGGCUGUCGUCAGCUCGUGCCGUGAGGUGUUAGGUUAAGUCCUACAACGAGCGCAACCCUUGUUGCCAGUUACAAGUUACUGGCGAGACUGCUGGCAUAUAACCAGAGGAAGGUGGGGAUGACGUCAAGUCAGCAUGGCCUUUAUAUCCAGGGCUACACACACGCUACAAUGGCCGGUACAGAGGGCAGCAAAGUCGCGAGGCGGAGCGAAUCUCACAAAGCCGGUCUCAGUUCAGAUUGCAGGCUGCAACCCGCCUGCAUGAAGUCGGAGUUGCUAGUAACCGCAGGUCAGCAAUACUGCGGUGAAUACGUUCCCGGGUCUUGUACACACCGCCCGU
rnacentral:rRNA from 1 species